UACGUAGGCAGCGAGCGUUGUUCGGAAUUACUGGGCGUAAAGAGUGUGUAGGCGGUGCUCUAAGUUCGGUGUGAAAUCUCCCGGCUUAACUGGGAGGGUGCGCCGGAAACUGGAGUGCUCGAGCGUGGGAGAGGAGAGCGGAAUUCCUGGUGUAGCGGUGAAAUGCGUAGAUAUCAGGAGGAACACCUGCGGUGUAGACGGCUUUCUGGACCAUUGCUGACGCUGAGACACGAAAGCGUGGGUAGCAAACAGG
rnacentral:rRNA from 1 species